rnacentral:sRNA from 1 species
AACUGUUUGCAAUGCAAGAAGGGCUGGGCCUUGCAUCACCUCAAGUGUGUAGACAUUGACGAGUGUGGCACAGAGGGAGCCAACUGUGGAGCCGACCAAUUCUGCGUGAACACUGAGGGCUCCUAUGAGUGCCGAGACUGUGCCAAGGCCUGCCUAGGCUGCAUGGGGGCAGGGCCAGGUCGCUGUAAGAAGUGUAGCCCUGGCUACCAGCAGGUGGGCUCCAAGUGUCUCGGUGAGUCUCCUGCUGGUGGGACACAGGCACCUGGGAGUGCCUCACCCAGCAUGAAUGGUGAAGAGGCCGGAAUAUGGGCAGGCGGGGGAAGGAAGGGUGGAAUGUUGCCUGGGCAAGGGCAGAGGGGAGUGUUGAGAGAUAGACAAGAUGGAGUUAGGGUGCUGCGUGGGGGGCCCUAGCAGGACUCUGACCCCUCCCUCCCCUCAAGAUGUGGAUGAGUGUGAGACAGAGGUGUGUCCAGGAGAGAACAAGCAGUGUGAAAACACCGAGGGCAGUUAUCGCUGCAUCUGUGCUGAGGGCUACAAGCA